rnacentral:rRNA from 1 species
GGGGAUGCUUAGUACGGCGAGUGAAGCGGCAAAAGCUCAAAUUUGAAAUCUGGUACCUUCGGUGCCCGAGUUGUAAUUUGGAGAGGGCAACUUUGGGGCCGUUCCUUGUCUAUGUUCCUUGGAACAGGACGUCAUAGAGGGUGAGAAUCCCGUGUGGCGAGGAGUGCGGUUCUUUGUAAAGUGCCUUCGAAGAGUCGAGUUGUUUGGGAAUGCAGCUCUAAGUGGGUGGUAAAUUCCAUCUAAAGCUAAAUAUUGGCGAGAGACCGAUAGCGAACAAGUACAGUGAUGGAAAGAUGAAAAGAACUUUGAAAAGAGAGUGAAAAAGUACGUGAAAUUGUUGAAAGGGAAGGGCAUUUGAUCAGACAUGGUGUUUUGUGCCCUCUGCUCCUUGUGGGUAGGGGAAUCUCGCAUUUCACUGGGCCAGCAUCAGUUUUGGUGGCAGGAUAAAUCCAUAGGAAUGUAGCUUGCCUCGGUAAGUAUUAUAGCCUGUGGGAAUACUGCCAGCUGGGACUGAGGACUGCGACGUAAGUCAAGGAUGCUGGCAUAAUGGUUAUAUGCCGCCCGUCUUGAA